GAGUGAAAUGAUGCUUUACCAUCUUUCGGGACUUACCCUAAAAUGGGGAUAAUGUUUUUUUCACUGAUCACUC